rnacentral:lncRNA from 1 species
AUGUUGGAGAGAGAGAAUGGUGGGAAGCUUUGGAUGGAGAUGAUGGUGUUGACGAAGAGACAAGCCUUUCCGGUGCCUCUCAGAGCAUGUCAGGGUUGCCAGUUCCUUUCACUUAAACAGAUAGCUGCUCCUCAGGACUCGGACCUCCACUUGGCAAUGUUCUCUGGGACGGGAAAUUGGAAGAUCGUAAGCUAGGUAAUAGCCAAAAUAUUGUUUAAUAGAUAAUUCGCUAUUACAUGAUUACCUCUUACUAGACAUUGGAUGAAUACGUGGCCACUUAAGAAGCAACUAGAACUUUGUUUCUCUUCUUCUCUCCAAAAGGCAAAAAGAGAGAAGAGACUUGGUCCACCAUUUAUUGCACUGAGCACAAACAGGAACUGAAACCAAACCUAGUGUCUCCUCCCAUACAGACUAGACGAAACAGACAUGUAUCAGAGGAGCAGAAGCCAUGUAAUGAAAAAAGUGGAAAGUAAUAGGUUUGAUUUUGAUGUGAAGUAUUUUGCAGAUACCCCAAGUCAAAAUUAAUAGCAGUUAAAAUGACAGAUGU